UGGAUGGCAGUCAUCCUACGAAGCGGCCUACCCCUAAGCCACCCAAAAAGCCCUCAGGUGACACAGGUGAUCUCGACCUGUCUGACUACUUUGAUUCGUCACCAGAGACGACAACAAAACCAGCCAAAGUAACAGCUGGACCUUAUCCGAAGAAGCCAGAUGAUGGUCGCUGGAAUGCCCCACAUAUCACCACCACCAAGCAGCCCAAAACCACCAAGCCACCCCCCAAGAAGACCCCAGGUAAACGUUCACCUCCAUAAACAGGAUGCACGUUGAAGAAUUUCUUUCACUUCCGUCUUC
rnacentral:lncRNA from 1 species